UACGUAGGGUGCAAGCGUUAAUCGGAAUUACUGGGCGUAAAGCGUGCGCAGGCGGUUUUGCAAGACAGAUGUGAAAUCCCCGGGCUCAACCUGGGAACUGCAUUUGUGAAUGCACGGCUAGAGUGCGGCAGAGGGAGAUGGAAUUCCGCGUGUAGCAGUGAAAUGCGUAGAUAUGCGGAGGAACACCCGUAGCGAAGGCGGCACUCUGGGCCGGUACUGACGCUGAGGAGCGAAAGCGUGGGGAGCAAACAGG
rnacentral:rRNA from 1 species